rnacentral:rRNA from 1 species
CCUACGGGAGGCAGCAGUGAGGAAUAUUGGUCAAUGGGCGCAAGCCUGAACCAGCCAAGUAGCGUGAAGGAUGACGGCCCUACGGGUUGUAAACUGCUUUUAUACAGGAAUAAAGUGACUUACGUGUGGGUUUUUGCAUGUACUUUAUGAAUAAGGACCGGCUAAUUCCGGGCCAGCAGCCGCGGUAUUACGGAGGUUCCGAGCGUUAUCCGGAUUUAUUGGGUUUAAAGGGAGCGUAGGUGGGUUGUUAAGUCAGCUGUGAAAUGUUCGGGCUCAACCGUGACAUUGCAGUUGAUACUGGCGUGCUUGAGUACAGUUGAGGUAGGCGGAAUUCGUGGUGUAGCGGUGAAAUGCUUAGAUAUGACGAAGAACCCCGAUUGCGAAGGCAGCUUACUGAAGUGCAACUGACGCUGAUGCUCGAAAGUGUGGGUAUCAAACAGGAUUAGAUACCCGUGUAGUC